UGACCCUGUUACCCUUCCCACCAGUCUCCCUAACAGCUUUGGCCUUCGGGUCAGCUCAAUUUCCCCUCCACUGAGUGGCCAUUACUGUGCCUGCCCGGUGAUAAAUGCUUUUUGUGAGAGACUGCAUUGCCGCCAGCUAGCACUAGGGAAGUCU
rnacentral:misc_RNA from 1 species